rnacentral:rRNA from 1 species
ACAGCAGCAGCCACGGUAAUACGUAGGGUGCAAGCGUUAAUCGGAAUUACUGGGCGUAAAGCGUGCGCAGGCGGUUAUAUAAGACAGAUGUGAAAUCCCCGGGCUCAACCUGGGAACUGCAUUUGUGACUGUAUAGCUAGAGUACGGCAGAGGGGGAUGGAAUUCCGCGUGUAGCAGUGAAAUGCGUAGAUAUGCGGAGGAACACCGAUGGCGAAGGCAAUCCCCUGGGCCUGUACUGACGCUCAUGCACGAAAGCGUGGGGAGCAAACAGGAUUAGAUACCCCGGUAGUCCCUGUCUCUUAUAC